UUAUAGUUAUCUUAUAAUUAUUUUUCCUCGGUAUUUUCUUAGAACCAUACAUAUGGUUAGUAAAUAAAACAAAAAAAAUACUUAUAGCAUCAAUUAGAAAAGUUUUUAAACACUAACAAUGACUUUUACGAGUAAUAUGCUCCGCCGCAACUCGGGCUAGUCCACGUUGCCCAACCCAUGACUAGGAUGAGCAAAGUUUGAAUGAGUUAAGGUGGAAUUUGAGUUAGAAAAAUACAAACCUAAAAAUGUUAGUAUUGGCAUGGGUUGAAAAUGUGGGUAAUUCGCCAAAAUCCGAACGUCCAAGUUAUUAUUUACUUAUUUAUUUAUAAUUACAUUAUAUAUUGUCUUAUUUAAAUAUACAAAACAUAUUAAAAGGACUCUCAACAUUUUUUGCUUUUUAGUUAUAUUAUAUUACUUUUUAAUUAUAUUAUAUUAAUGAGUUUAUUAUUCUUCUUUAAUAAUUAAAACAUCUUUUGAUAGUUGAAAUUUGAGUUUAUGAAUCUUAAUUUACAUUAAAUUCAUAGUAAUGAUUUAUUUGAUAACUUUGAGAUACUUAGCUUUAAUAUAGUUAUUUUAUUUGAUAACACGAAGACCAUAAAAACUCAAAUUGUCUAUGGGUUAGAUGGGGUUUAAAAAUUCUCAACUUGAUCAUGAUCUUAGGAAAUAUUCCCAACACGAUUUCAUAAAUAGCAAUGAUAUGCUAAAUAUUCGUCUAUUUAAAUUGGUACGACUUAAAAAAGGUAUACUUAAGAGUGCAAGCCCAUUUCAAAGUAAUUUUAAUUAAUCCACUUUAAAAUGAUCUUAUAAAUAAAACACUUAAUAAAGUAAAUUUGGUUAAAGUUAACACCUUCAUUAAUAAGGCUGCCACUAAAAAUAUUUCUAAGGAUAAUCACUUGAUAUUUGAAAAACUCGACCUUUGCUUCCCCCCAAAUAAGUAUGAAAACAAAGAUGCCUUCAAACAAACAAGCGUUAAGCGAUGAAAUGAGACACCCUACAAUUACUUUUUAACUGCUUUACUAAAAUCAUUUUCAAUGAGACCUCCG
rnacentral:lncRNA from 1 species